rnacentral:rRNA from 1 species
AGGAUUCUCUUAGUAACGGCGAGUGAACAGAGAUUAGCCCAGCACCGAAGCCUAUCUGCGUUUGUGGACAAGGCAAUGUGGUGUUUAGGCGUUUGCCUGGGAUCGUCGGUCUAUUCGAAGUCCAGCGUAGAAUAUGGCUCUGGAUGUUGCCCAAAGCGGGUGAAAGGCCCGUCCGGAUAGAUCUGUAGUUAUGUUAUGGCGAUCCCCAGUUGCAUUCGCUUUGGAGUCGGAUAGCUUGAGAAUGCUGUCCAAAGUGGGUGGUAAACUCCAUCUAAGGCUAAAUAUAUGCACGAAUCCGAUAGUAGACAAGUACCGUGAGGGAAAGUUGAAAAGUACUCUGAAGAGAGAGUAAAUAGUACGUGAAACCGCCUGUAGGGAAGCUGGUGGAGUCAAGCUGCAUGCUCUUGGAAUUAAAUCACCGAUUAUUGUGGUUGGUCUAGACUGGUACACGGUGGCCUUGUAAGGAGGCUUUCGGACUUGUCCGCAUCAUGUGCGUACAGGUUUGUGCGUGUGGGCCGAGUAUCAUGUUCUGGAUUUGGUGGUGUAUUUUCCUUGUAGCAGACAUCACGAUCGGUAUUGCUGUUGGCAUAUGAUGGACAAACCAAUGGGUUAUGACGCUUAAUUGAUCAUGCCUGUUGGGAAGGCAGGUGUCUCAUUUGAUGGCCUCGUGCUGUCUCAUGGGUUUUUUGUGGUUGCGGCCGGCCGUUCAUCAUUGUGGUUCUGUUAGCUAUGCAGUGUACCGUUGCUUAUGUGGCGUUCGUUUUGGUGCAUGAUUGCUCUCGUUAUGAGGUGCGGCUCGUUUCUGCGCAAGUAGUGCGGGUUGCGCUUUGUGCGUGAGUGGUUGUGUGCUCGG